GACAGAGGGUGCAAACGUUGUUCGGAAUUACUGGGCGUAAAGCGAGUGUAGGCGGUUUGGUAAGUCGGAUGUGAAAGCCCCGGGCUCAACCCGGGAAGUGCACUCGAUACUGCCAAGCUAGAGUAUCGGAGAGGUUGGUGGAAUUCUCGGUGUAGAGGUGAAAAUUCGUAGAUAUUGGGAAGAACACCGGUGGCGAAGGCGGCUGGCUGGGUCCACAUUGACGCUGAGGCUCGAAAGCGUGGGGAGCAAACAGG
rnacentral:rRNA from 1 species